rnacentral:rRNA from 1 species
CUGGUUGAUCCUGCCAGAGGUUACUGCUAUCGAGGUUCGACUAAGCCAUGCGAGUCGAAUGUAGCAAUACAUGGCGUACUGCUCAGUAACACGUGGACAACCUACCCUCCGGACGGGUAUAAACCCGGGAAACUGGGUAUAAUCCCCGAUAGAUCUCGGUCGCUGGAAAGCCCCGAGAUCGAAAGCUCCGGCGCCAGAGGAUGGGUCUGCGGCCUAUCAGGUAGUAGUGGGUGUAGCGUACCUACUAGCCUACGACGGGUACGGGUUGUGAGAGCAAGAGCCCGGAGAUGGAUUCUGAGACACGAAUCCAGGCCCUACGGGGUGCAGCAGGCGCGAAAACUUUACAAUGCCGGCAACGGCGAUAAGGGGACCUCGAGUGCCAGGUUACAAAUCUGGCUGUCGUGAUGCCUAAAAAGCAUUGCAUAGCAAGGGCCGGGCAAGACCGGUGCCAGCCGCCGCGGUAACACCGGCGGCUCGAGUGGUAACCGUUAUUAUUGGGUCUAAAGGGUCUGUAGCCGGCCAGAUAAGUCUCUUGAGAAAUCCAGCAGCUCAACUGUUGGGCUUUCAGGAGAUACUGUCUGGCUCGAGGCCGGGAGAGGUGAGAGGUACUUCAGGGGUAGGGGUGAAAUCUUGUAAUCCUUGAAGGACCACCAGUGGCGAAGGCGUCUCACCAGAACGGACCUGACGGCAAGGGACGAAAGCUAGGGGCACGAACCGGAUUAGAUACCCGGGUAGUCCUAGCCGUAAACGAUACUCGCUAGGUGUCGGCCACGGUGCGACCGUUGUCGGUGCCGUAGGGAAGCCGUGAAGCGAGCCACCUGGGAAGUACGGCCGCAAGGCUGAAACUUAAAGGAAUUGGCGGGGGAGCACCACAACGGGUGGAGCUUGCGGUUUAAUUGGAUGCAACGCCGGAAAUCUUACCGGGACCGACAGCAACAUGAAGGCCAGGCUGAAGACUUUGCCGGAUUAGCUGAGAGGUGGUGCAUGGCCGUCGUCAGUUCGUACUGUGAAGCAUCUCGUUAAGUCAGGCAACGAGCGAGACCCACGCCCACAGUUGCCAGCGUACUCUCCGGAGUGACGAGUACACUGUGGGGACCGCCGCUGCUAAAGCGGAGGAAGGAAUGGGCAACGGUAGGUCAGUAUGCCCCGAAUAUCCCGGGCUACACGCGAGCUACAAUGGUUGGUACAAUGGGUAUCUACCCCGGAAGGGGAUGGAAAUCUCCUAA